CUUUUACAAUGAAGAGUUUGAUCCUGGCUCAGGAUGAACGCUAGCUACAGGCUUAACACAUGCAAGUCGAGGGGCAUCAGGAAGAAAGCUUGCUUUCUUUGCUGGCGACCGGCGCACGGGUGAGUAACACGUAUCCAACCUGCCCUUUACUCGGGGAUAGCCUUUCGAAAGAAAGAUUAAUACCCGAUAGCAUAAUGAUUCCGCAUGGUUUCAUUAUUAAAGGAUUCCGGUAAAGGAUGGGGAUGCGUUCCAUUAGGUUGUUGGUGAGGUAACGGCCCACCAAGCCUUCGAUGGAUAGGGGUUCUGAGAGGAAGGUCCCCCACAUUGGAACUGAGACACGGUCCAAACUCCUACGGGAGGCAGCAGUGAGGAAUAUUGGUCAAUGGGCGCUAGCCUGAACCAGCCAAGUAGCGUGAAGGAUGAAGGCUCUAUGGGUCGUAAACUUCUUUUAUAUAAGAAUAAAGUGCAGUAUGUAUACUGUUUUGUAUGUAUUAUAUGAAUAAGGAUCGGCUAACUCCGUGCCAGCAGCCGCGGUAAUACGGAGGAUCCGAGCGUUAUCCGGAUUUAUUGGGUUUAAAGGGAGCGUAGGUGGACUGGUAAGUCAGUUGUGAAAGUUUGCGGCUCAACCGUAAAAUUGCAGUUGAUACUGUCAGUCUUGAGUACAGUAGAGGUGGGCGGAAUUCGUGGUGUAGCGGUGAAAUGCUUAGAUAUCACGAAGAACUCCGAUUGCGAAGGCAGCUCACUGGACUGCAACUGACACUGAUGCUCGAAAGUGUGGGUAUCAAACAGGAUUAGAUACCCUGGUAGUCCACACAGUAAACGAUGAAUACUCGCUGUUUGCGAUAUACAGUAAGCGGCCAAGCGAAAGCAUUAAGUAUUCCACCUGGGGAGUACGCCGGCAACGGUGAAACUCAAAGGAAUUGACGGGGGCCCGCACAAGCGGAGGAACAUGUGGUUUAAUUCGAUGAUACGCGAGGAACCUUACCCGGGCUUAAAUUGCAGUGGAAUGAUGUGGAAACAUGUCAGUGAGCAAUCACCGCUGUGAAGGUGCUGCAUGGUUGUCGUCAGCUCGUGCCGUGAGGUGUCGGCUUAAGUGCCAUAACGAGCGCAACCCUUAUCUUUAGUUACUAACAGGUUAUGCUGAGGACUCUAGAGAGACUGCCGUCGUAAGAUGUGAGGAAGGUGGGGAUGACGUCAAAUCAGCACGGCCCUUACGUCCGGGGCUACACACGUGUUACAAUGGGGGGUACAGAAGGCAGCUAGCGGGUGACCGUAUGCUAAUCCCAAAAUCCUCUCUCAGUUCGGAUCGAAGUCUGCAACCCGACUUCGUGAAGCUGGAUUCGCUAGUAAUCGCGCAUCAGCCACGGCGCGGUGAAUACGUUCCCGGGCCUUGUACACACCGCCCGUCAAGCCAUGGGAGCCGGGGGUACCUGAAGUACGUAACCGCAAGGAUCGUCCUAGGGUAAAACUGGUGACUGGGGCUAAGUCGUAACAAGGUAGCCGUACCGGAAGGUGCGGCUGGAACACCUCCUUUCU
rnacentral:rRNA from 1 species